UACGUAGGGUGCGAGCGUUUAAUCGGAAUUACUGGGCGUAAAGCGUGCGCAGGCGGUUGGUUAAGUCUGAUGUGAAAGCCCCGGGCUCAACCUGGGAAUGGCAUUGGAAACUGUCCAGCUGGAGUGUGGCAGAGGGGGGUGGAAUUCCGCGUGUAGCAGUGAAAUGCGUAGAGAUGUGGAGGAACACCAAUGGCGAAGGCAGCCUCCUGGGCCAACACUGACACUCAUGCACGAAAGCGUGGGGAGCAAACAGG
rnacentral:rRNA from 1 species